CCUACGGGAUGCAGCAGUGGGGAAUAUUGGACAAUGGGGGCAACCCUGAUCCAGCCAUGCCGCGUGUGUGAAGAAGGCCCUCGGGUUGUAAAGCACUUUCAGUGAGGAAGAACGCCUGGUGGUUAAUACCCAUCAGGAAAGACAUCACUCACAGAAGAAGCACCGGCUAACUCCGUGCCAGCAGCCGCGGUAAUACGGAGGGUGCGAGCGUUAAUCGGAAUUACUGGGCGUAAAGCGCGCGUAGGUGGCUUGAUAAGCCGGUUGUGAAAGCCCCGGGCUCAACCUGGGAACGGCAUCCGGAACUGUCAAGCUAGAGUGCAGGAGAGGAAGGUAGAAUUCCCGGUGUAGCGGUGAAAUGCGUAGAGAUCGGGAGGAAUACCAGUGGCGAAGGCGGCCUUCUGGACUGACACUGACACUGAGGUGCGAAAGCGUGGGUAGCAAACAGGAUUAGAUACCCUAGUAGUC
rnacentral:rRNA from 1 species